CUACGGGCGGCUCCAGUGGGGAAUAUUGCACAAUGGGCGCAAGCCUGAUGCAGCCAUGCCGCGUGUAUGAAGAAGGCCUUCGGGUUGUAAAGUACUUUCAGCGGGGAGGAAGGGAGUAAAGUUAAUACCUUUGCUCAUUGACGUUACCCGCAGAAGAAGCACCGGCUAACUCCGUGCCAGCAGCCGCGGUAAUACGGAGGGUGCAAGCGUUAAUCGGAAUUACUGGGCGUAAAGCGCACGCAGGCGGUUUGUUAAGUCAGAUGUGAAAUCCCCGGGCUCAACCUGGGAACUGCAUCUGAUACUGGCAAGCUUGAGUCUCGUAGAGGGGGGUAGAAUUCCAGGUGUAGCGGUGAAAUGCGUAGAGAUCUGGAGGAAUACCGGUGGCGAAGGCGGCCCCCUGGACGAAGACUGACGCUCAGGUGCGAAAGCGUGGGAGCAAACAGGAUUAAUACCCUGGUAGUC
rnacentral:rRNA from 1 species